CUUGGUAAGAGAGAGCUUUCUUCUGUCCAUUAACAUGUGGUAAUAGGAUUCAAUUAGCUGCUGACUCAUUCAUUCAAAUGCUGACAGAGUGAAUCAAACUCAUACAGUAAAUGAAUGAAUGAUGUGGGAGACAAAUUGAAUCUUAUGCUUCCUGUAUUUGGACUGAAGGGAGCUCCCUUUUUUUCUUCU
rnacentral:pre_miRNA from 1 species